UUCAGAACUAACUACACAAAAAUUUUGACUUUGAGCAGUGAUCUCGACUUCCACAUACGAUCAUAUCUUUUUACCGGUUCGUUUGUUUCAUUUAGAAAUAAACUUGGCUGGCAAUGUAAAUCAACUAGGAUUCGAACUUGGGACCUCGGAUACCAACCAUCAAGCCCUUUGCCACUUGCACUAGGGACGGUCGGUGCUUCUAAACGAAUCUACAUAAUAAAUUUAUAACAUCUAAUUUUCA
rnacentral:lncRNA from 1 species